rnacentral:rRNA from 1 species
UAACGCGUGAGCAAUCUGCCUUUAAGAGGGGGAUAACAGUCGGAAACGGCUGCUAAUACCGCAUAAAGCAUCAAAUUCGCAUGUUUUUGACGCCAAAGGAGCAAUCCGCUUUUAGAUGAGCUCGCGUCUGAUUAGCUGGUUGGCGGGGUAACGGCCCACCAAGGCGACGAUCAGUAGCCGGACUGAGAGGUUGAACGGCCACAUUGGGACUGAGACACGGCCCAG